GGCUCGGUGGUGGAGUGUCCACACCUGCUAUGGAUACGCAGCAUCACACCGGACAAUCUCGUUCCCGCAGGAGACGCUCGUUCGAUUCGAGCCCGAGCCA